rnacentral:rRNA from 1 species
CCUACGGGUGGCAGCAGUGAGGAAUAUUGGUCAAUGGGCGAGAGCCUGAACCAGCCAAGUCGCGUGAGGGAGUACUGCCCUAUGGGUUGUAAACCUCUUUUGUCGGGGAGCAAAAGCCGGACGUGUCCGGCUGUGAGAGUACCCGAAGAAAAAGCAUCGGCUAACUCCGUGCCAGCAGCCGCGGUAAUACGGAGGAUGCGAGCGUUAUCCGGUUUUAUUGGGUUUAAAGGGUGCGCAGGCGGAUUUUUAAGUCAGCGGUAAAAUCGUGGGGCUCAACCCCAUCCAGCCGUUGAAACUGGGGAUCUAGAGUGUGCGAGAGGUAUGCGGAAUGCGUGGUGUAGCGGUGAAAUGCAUAGAUAUCACGCAGAACCCCGAUUGCGAAGGCAGCAUACCGGUGCACAACUGACGCUCAGGCACGAAAGCGUGGGUAUCGAACAGGAUUAGAUACCCGGGUAGUC